rnacentral:rRNA from 1 species
GACAGAGGUGCCAAGCGUUAGGCGGAAUCACUGGGCUUAAAGCGUGUGUAGGCGGACUUCUAAGUACCUUGUGAAAUCCCACGGCUCAACCGUGGAACUGCUCGGUAUACUGGUUGUCUUGAGCCACUUAGGGGCUACCGGAACAAAUGGUGGAGCGGUGAAAUGCGUAGAUAUCAUUUGGAACGCCAAUGGUGAAAACAGGUAGCUGGGAGUGUGCUGACGCUGAGACACGAAAGCCAGGGGAGCAAACGGG